rnacentral:rRNA from 1 species
AUUGAACGCUGGCGGCAGGCCUAACACAUGCAAGUCGAACGAGUGGCGGAAGGGUGAGUAAUGUCUGGGAAACUGCCUGAUGGAGGGGGAUAACUACUGUAAACGGUAGCUAAUACCGCUUACCAUCAGAUCUGCACAGAUGGGAUUAUCUUGUUGGUGGGGUAACGGCUCACCAAGGCGACGAUCCCUAGCUGGUCUGAGAGGAUGACCAGCAACACUGGGACUGAGACACGGUCCAGACUCCUACGGGAGGCAGCAGUGGGGAAUAUUGCACAAUGGGCGCAAGCCUGAUGCAGCCAUGCCGCGGGUAUGAAGAAGGCCUUCGGGUUGUAAAGUACUUUCAGCAGGGAGGCGUUACCCACAGAAGAAGCACCGGCUAACUCCGUGCCAGCAGCCGCGGUAAUUC